rnacentral:rRNA from 1 species
AGAGUUUGAUCAUGGCUCAGGAUGAACGCUAGCGGGAGGCCUAACACAUGCAAGCCGAGCGGUAGAUUACUUUCGGGUAAUUGAGAGCGGCGUACGGGUGCGGAACACGUGUGCAACCUGCCUUUAUCAGGGGGAUAGCCUUUCGAAAGGAAGAUUAAUACCCCAUAAUAUAUUAUUCGGCAUCGGGUGAUAUUGAAAACUACGGUGGAUAGAGAUGGGCACGCGCAAGAUUAGCUAGUUGGUGAGGUAACGGCUCACCAAGGCGACGAUCUUUAGGGGGCCUGAGAGGGUGAUCCCCCACACUGGUACUGAGACACGGACCAGACUCCUACGGGAGGCAGCAGUGAGGAAUAUUGGACAAUGGGUGGAAGCCUGAUCCAGCCAUCCCGCGUGCAGGAAGACGGCCCUAUGGGUUGUAAACUGCUUUUAUCUGGGGAUAAACCUACUUACGUGUAAGUAGCUGAAGGUACCAGAAGAAUAAGCACCGGCUAACUCCGUGCCAGCAGCCGCGGUAAUACGGAGGGUGCAAGCGUUAUCCGGAUUUAUUGGGUUUAAAGGGUCCGUAGGCGGACUGAUAAGUCAGUGGUGAAAUCCGACAGCUUAACUGUCGAACUGCCAUUGAUACUGUUAGUCUUGAGUAAGGUUGAAGUGGCUGGAAUAAGUAGUGUAGCGGUGAAAUGCAU